AUUUAUGUAACCAUUCAUCCCUUGAAGAACAUCUGGGUUGUUUCCAGUGGGCAAUUAUAAACAGAGCCUCUAUCAACAUUCCUGUACCAGUUUUAGAAUGAACAUAAAUUUAUAUUUCUCUAAGUACUCAGGAGUAGAAUUGACGUUCUGUCAUAUGAAACCAUCCUCCUGGCUGUCUCACCAUCAGCGCCACCUCUCCGUGGGUCUGGAGUCUUGAGGAGCCAGGACUGGACUGGGAUGUAAGGUUGGGUCUUCCGAGCUGUAGAUGGGAGCAGGAAGAUGUAUCUCCAUUCACGAUCUCAGUACAAGGCUCAGCUAUCUCCCGGCAACUCGCCC
rnacentral:lncRNA from 10 species